rnacentral:rRNA from 1 species
UACGGAGGGAGCUAGCGUUGUUCGGAAUUACUGGGCGUAAAGCGCACGUAGGCGGCUUUGCAAGUUAGAGGUGAAAGCCCGGGGCCCAACUCCGGAAUUGCCUUUAAAACUGCAUCGCUAGAGUUGUGGAGAGGUAAGUGGAAUUCCGAGUGUAGAGGUGAAAUUCGUAGAUAUUCGGAAGAACACCAGUGGCGAAGGCGACUUACUGGACACAUAUUGACGCUGAGGUGCGAAAGCGUGGGGAGCAAACAGG